rnacentral:rRNA from 1 species
CCUACGGGAGGCUGCAGUGGGGAAUAUUGGGCAAUGGGCGCAAGCCUGACCCAGCAACGCCGCGUGAAGGAAGAAGGCUUUCGGGUUGUAAACUUCUUUUAAGAGGGAAGAGCAGAAGACGGUACCCCUUGAAUAAGCCACGGCUAACUACGUGCCAGCAGCCGCGGUAAUACGUAGGGGGCAAGCGUUAUCCGGAUUUACUGGGUGUAAAGGGCGCGCAGACGGGAGGACAAGUCAGGAGUGAAAUCCCGGGGCGCAACCCCGGAACUGCUCUUGGAACUGCGCGGCGUGAGUGCCGGAGAGGCAAGCGGAAUUCCUGGUGUAGCGGUGAAAUGCGUAGAUAUUAGGAAGAACACUAGUGGCGAAGGCGGGUUACUGGACAUUAACUGACGGUGAGGCACGAAAGCGAGGGGAGCGAAAGGGAUUAGAUACCCCGGUAGUC